CCCAAGACACCCUCCAUCCCUCCCGGCGAAAAGGAGGAGGUAGCCCCAGGCCCGAGUGCCAGGGGUGUUUUUCCCUUUCUGAACCCAGACGCCGCGUCCUCCAUAAGUACCCUCCCCCUCGCCGCCUGACUUCUAGUCGACAGCAAAGGUGGGGUAGGUGGGAGAAACCAGCGAGCGCUCUCCAGAUUCGGGAUGUUGGUUUCCGCGGAGCGAAGAGAGCCAGACGCGAGGAGGAAAAUGAUGCGCAUGUAUAUUUGUAGAGCAUAUUCUUCUAGAAUUUCCCUUUGAUCGUCACGAGGAGCGAUGGAGGCUCCGGAGACAGGUGCGGCGGUGGCCGAGGCUGCCGGCUAAAAGUUGUUCUCUCCGCGGUGGGCGGCGGGGUCCCCGGGCCGGGGCUGAGGACCCCGUCUCCCUGCCCCCCCUCCCCCCCGGCGUCGCCCACUUCUCGCUGGCUGCUGCGUGCGGCUCGGCUGCAGGGGAGGUGGCGUAGUUUCUCUUCCUCCCACCUCUUCUCACUCACUUGUUUUCGUAGCCGUGGGCUCCCCUAAUGCUUUCCUCUCCACAAUGUUGUUUCAUUAUAUCAUGUCCAUCAUGUGACACCGGAGAGGCCUCUCUAUGGAAACUUAAAGGGGCUCCCACGUGACUGCAGCAGCAACAACAGCAGCAGCGGCUGGAGUGGCCGCGGCCGCAGCGUUCCUACCACCACCCACCGGGAGCCCCUCGCAGCAUCCCGAAGGGGCUUCUGGCGCUGCAGGAGCCCAGAUAAGGGAGCCACAGCAUCCGGGAGCUGUGGCGUCUGUGCGUGCGUGUAGCCUUUGCUCGUUACAUAGGAAACCGAACAGAAGGAGCGUCUUCAAAUCCUUUCCUACAGUCGCAAAACCCACGCUCUGCUAAAAUGACAUUUCGUGGCUCCUACUUGAUUUUCCCCAAGAGCAAUGAGUUUUCUAUCAGGUCUGAUUAAUUUUGUACCAAGUCAAGAAGAAAAACUGGAUUCGUCUCUCUGCGAGUUCAGCCAGCUCUUGGGUAGAACAGAAAUGACAAAACAAUAAUAACAGAAAUAGAAUCAGGCAUCUGAUACAUAAUUACCAUCACCACCAGCUUUAAAGCUUUCUGGAAUUACAUUCCUCCGGUAACUGUUGAUGAUGCUUGCAGGAGGCUAAAUGCAAUGCAGUUUUUCUCUUCCGCAGCUAUAUUAGGGCUUUGUUGCUGACAACAGUAAAAACUUGUUUGUGUCAGGAAGUGAGGUACGUAGAUGUGACCUGGAAGGUACAAACAAAACCAAAGUGGCAGUGUUUGCAUUAGUUUUCUGACCACAUUGUUUCAAAUGGUGAGAAGCAGCUGGUUUGCUGUAAAAUGCUAGUAGCGUGUGUUUUGGUAGGAAAUAAAAUCAUCAGAAAAACA